UACGUAGGGUGCGAGCGUUGUCCGGAAUUACUGGGCGUAAAGAGCUCGUAGGCGGUUUGUCGCGUCGUCCGUGAAAACUUGGGGCUCAACCCCAAGCUUGCGGGCGAUACGGGCAGACUUGAGUACUGCAGGGGAGAUGGAAUUCCUGGUGUAGCGGUGAAAUGCGCAGAUAUCAGGAGGAACACCGGUGGCGAAGGCGGGUCUCUGGGCAGUAACUGACGCUGAGGAGCGAAAGCGUGGGUAGCAAACAGG
rnacentral:rRNA from 1 species